AGAGUUUGAUCAUGGCUCAGAUUGAACGCUGGCGGCAGGCCUAACACAUGCAAGUCGAGCGGAAACGAGUUAUCUGAACCUUCGGGGAACGAUAACGGCGUCGAGCGGCGGACGGGUGAGUAAUGCCUAGGAAAUUGCCCUGAUGUGGGGGAUAACUAUUGGAAACGAUGGCUAAUACCGCAUAACACCUACGGGUCAAAGAGGGGGACCUUCGGGCCUCUCGCGUCAGGAUAUGCCUAGGUGGGAUUAGCUAGUUGGUGAGGUAAUGGCUCACCAAGGCGACGAUCCCUAGCUGGUCUGAGAGGAUGAUCAGCCACACUGGAACUGAGACACGGUCCAGACUCCUACGGGAGGCAGCAGUGGGGAAUAUUGCACAAUGGGCGCAAGCCUGAUGCAGCCAUGCCGCGUGUGUGAAGAAGGCCUUCGGGUUGUAAAGCACUUUCAGUCGUGAGGAAGGUAGUGUAGUUAAUAGCUGCAUUAUUUGACGUUAGCGACAGAAGAAGCACCGGCUAACUCCGUGCCAGCAGCCGCGGUAAUAAU
rnacentral:rRNA from 1 species